UACGUGGAGGGGCGAGCGUUGUCCGGAUUUAUUGGGCGUAAAGAGCGUGUAGGCGGCCAGGUAGGUCCGUUGUGAAAACUCGAGGCUCAACCUCGAGACGUCGAUGGAAACCAUCUGGCUAGAGUCCGGAAGAGGAGAGUGGAAUUCCUGGUGUAGCGGUGAAAUGCGCAGAUAUCAGGAGGAACACCGGUGGCGAAGGCGGGUCUCUGGGCAACUACUGACGCUGAGGAGCGAAAGCGUGGGGAGCGAACAGG
rnacentral:rRNA from 1 species